rnacentral:lncRNA from 10 species
GAGGCAAAGAAGCACCACUCUGACAUGGAAAAUAAUUUCCGUUGUCAGAUUAUUCUUGUUUAACUUGGUUUAACUUUAUAGUAGGGUUAAAUGUGGCAUUUGAAGGUUGGUGAGUAACAACAUCUUUUAAAACAUGGUGAAUUCCAACAAGAAAAGACCAAGGCAACAGACGCAUGAGAGUGAGGUAUUUAUCUGAGGGCGAUUGAAGUCACCAGCUUAACAGAGCCAUAAGAUUUUGGGCCAAAUGUACCAAGAGCAAGUCUGUUCCCAAGAUGAACUGGCAUGUGGAUGCUCUGGGCUUGUGUGUGUAGUGGAAAGACCUUAAGCCAGAGAACUCCAGGUUCAAGAACCACCACCUGCAAACUUGGCAAAUUUGGACAAAUGUCUCUCUGAGUUUCAUUGUCUUCAUCCACAAAUAAAGCAAGAUUACUUCGCCUACAGAAUUGCGAAAUUAUGACCAGACCAUGAGGGUAUGAAGGAUGAGGAAAAGGGAGCAGUCAUGGAGCUGUUUUGGAGGGAGUCAUAAUUCCUUAGACCUCUGACAACUGGAACUCUCAAUCUGCCAGUGAAAGCUGACAUGAGCCCAAUAAGGAUGGUCUUUUCUAUUCAAAGAUAGGGACACCCUCUUUUUAAAGGACAUUCAAUUCAAAUGUAUCUUCUCUGGUUAAAGUAUGGUGAAGUCUGUCCUGUGGGCACUCCCCAUUGACUCCUAGCAGCUCUUGAGCCCCAUCUUCAGGAUCCGUACUUUGAUAGUCACUGACAAUUAGCUUUGAAAAUCUAUAGUUCCAAUCCUGUGAAAUGAGAAGAAUGUUGAAGCUAUAAAGGAGGUCUUUGCCUGCAUUCAGAUUCUGACACCAAAGACUCCUCUGAUUAUACUGAAGUAUGUAAGAAAACCUUCUCUUGAAAUCAAGGACCAUUUCUCUUCAUCUUAUCUUGAGCUACAUACCAAAUAUGAG